AGCAUAUCAAUAAGCGGAGGAAAAGAAACCAACAGGGAUUGCCCCAGUAACGGCGAGUGAAGCGGCAACAGCUCAAAUUUGAAAUCUGGCCCCUCGGGGUCCGAGUUGUAAUUUGUAGAGGAUGCUUUUGGUGAGGUGCCGCCCGAGUUCCCUGGAACGGGACGCCACAGAGGGUGAGAGCCCCGUCUGGCUGGCCGCCGAGCCUCUGUAAAGCUCCUUCGACGAGUCGAGUAGUUUGGGAAUGCUGCUCAAAAUGGGAGGUAUAUGUCUUCUAAAGCUAAAUAUUGGCCAGAGACCGAUAGCGCACAAGUAGAGUGAUCGAAAGAUGAAAAGCACCUUGAAAAGAGGGUUAAAUAGUACGUGAAAUUGUUGAAAGGGAAGCGCUUGUGACCAGACUUGGGCGCGGCGGAUCAUCCGGGGUUCUCUCCGGUGCACUUCGCCGCGUCUGGGCCAGCAUCAGUUCGUCGCGGGGGAAAAAGGCUUCGGGAACGUGGCUCCUCCGGGAGUGUUAUAGCCCGUUGCAUAAUACCCUGCGGUGGACUGAGGACCGCGCAUCUGCAAGGAUGCUGGCGUAAUGGUCACCAGCGACCCGUCUUGAAACACGGACCAAGGAGUCGUCUUCGUAUGCGAGUGUUCGGGUGUCAAACCCCUACGCGUAAUGAAAGUGAACGCAGGUGAGAGCUUCGGCGCAUCAUCGACCGAUCCUGAUGUUCUCGGAUGGAUUUGAGUAAGAGCAUACGGGGCCGGACCCGAAAGAAGGUGAACUAUGCCUGUAUAGGGUGAAGCCAGAGGAAACUCUGGUGGAGGCUCGCAGCGGUUCUGACGUGCAAAUCGAUCGUCAAAUAUGGGCAUGGGGGCGAAAGACUAAUCGAACCUUCUAGUAGCUGGUUUCCGCCGAAU
rnacentral:rRNA from 1 species